GACGAACGCUGGCGGCGUGCUUAACACAUGCAAGUCGAACGGAAAGGCCCUGCUUUUGUUGGGUGCUCGAGUGGCGAACGGGUGAGUAACACGUGAGUAACCUGCCCUUGACUUUGGGAUAACUUCAGGAAACUGGGGCUAAUACCGCAUAGGAGCUCCUGCUGCAUGGUGGGGGUUGGAAAGUUUCGGUGGUUGGGGUUGGACGUGCGGCUUAUCAGCUUUUUGGUGGGGUAGUGGCUUACCAAGGCUUUGACGGGUAGCCGGCCUGAGAGGGUGACCGGCCACAUUGGGACUGGGAUACGACCCGGACUGCUACGGGAGGCAGCAGUGGGGAAUAUAGCACGAUGGGCGGAAGCCUGAAGGAGCAACGCCGGGUGCUGGAUGACGGCCUUCGGGGUGUAAACCGCUUUCGCCUGGGAAGAAGCGUGAGUGACGGUAAUGGGUAAAGAAGCACCGGCUAACUACGUG
rnacentral:rRNA from 1 species